rnacentral:lncRNA from 1 species
CAGCAGCUGCCAGCCUACACCACAGCCACAGCAACACAGGAUGUGAGCCACGUCUGUAACCAAUGCCAUAGCUCUCAGCAACUUCAGAUCUCACUGAGAAAGGCCAGGGAUCCAACCCGCAUCGUCAUGGAUACUAACCAGUUGGAUUCAUUUCCGCUGCACUACAACAGGAACUACUAUUUCAUAGAUUUUAUUGGUAAUUUCUUUCACUAUUGCCUAAAGCUCAGAAUCUAAAUAUCGUAGUGAUAGAUACAAAGUACCUGCGUAACACCUGGGAUUCAUUACACCUGUAACCAUAUAUGACAUUUCACUACACUAUUAAAACUGUAUUUUAAAUACAGAGUCUAAAUACAAAGUGCUUUUAUAUAUUCCAAAAUAUUUUUCUCCAUGGCACAAUGAAAACUUUGUUUUUAUCAACAUUUUAUGAUAGAUCGUUUUAAAAGCCACAUAUUCUAUCACAAAAGCAAAACAUUUGAAAACAACUGCCAUAUUUCAACUUUAUAAUCUUUGUAAAACUAGAUGCUUAUUUGGGUCAGAAAAUUGUGUCACUUUUGCUGAUCACCCAGCAAAAACCUGUCAAGUGACUUUCAGGUUUAUAUAAUCUAAUGCCAUUAUAAGCAAUUACAAGGCCUAAUGGACGCUGGUUGUGUGUACCUCUGGCAUUGCCCUGAAUUUACAUCGUUAGUCACUUCCUGAAGUCAUGUUAGCUUUCCUUCAUCGACUGCCCUCUCGGGUUUUUAGGCCAUCAUUCUUAAGAGCAUUUCACAGAGCAAUUCAUCACCUUCCUAUGUUUUCCAGUUAAACAUAUACAUGCUUUGAUUCCUUAAAUAUGUCAUGUUUGGGCAAAACUAAUUAAUGAGUGGAGGAAAAAAAUCAGAAAUUAUUGCCUUUGAGGAUGGGAGGGUAAAGGAUGUCUGGUAAUGGACCUGAGGGAACUUUCUGGGGGGAUGAUUGUGUUCUUUGUCCUGACAGAGGCUUGGGUUAACAGGUAUGGACGUAAGUCAAAGCUCAGCAAAUGUUCACUUAAGAUCUAGCUGUGUCCGCUACAUUUCAAUUUUACCUCAAGAAGAAAAACACUGGCAACUAUUGCCGAUUUCUAGAUGAGGACACACAUGGAGAAGUAUUUAGGCAGAAAUGCAUCAAAAAUAACUAAGAUGGAUUAAUGGAUGAAUAGAGGGGUGAACACAUGGACAGAAACAUAACUCAAAAUGUUCACUAAAGUGAGAAGUAGGUAAACUGGUGUUCACGGUAAAAUUCUUUCAACUUCUCCAUGUUCAAAAAUUUUGAUAAUAAAAUGUUCUGCGAUUUACAAGAUCAUUUUUCACAAUCCUUUUUACUUUAAAAUUCACCCAGUAAAUUACGAGGAAUCAGGAAGUAUUCCCAAAGAUUCUGAACUAUGAUCUUUGUUGCCCACUGAUUUGAGUAUUUUAUUUUUUUAUAAAAAUCGAGCCCAAUAGUUAAGACUGGAUAAAAAUCUAGUUAAAUUAGGACACUCUUUCAAUUCAUUCCACAAAUACUCCUCAAACACCUAUGUACCAGAUUAUCUCUAAGUGUUAAAGUCAAAGGACAACCUGAUUGUAAUACGAUGUGAUUUAGACUAUGGGUUUCAGGAAUGUGGCUGGAAGGGCAUUUUCUGGAACAGGAGGGAGAAGUAAAAUUUUCCCAGAUGGAGAAAAUUCAUUCUAGUCUGUCGGAAAUUGCGUAUGUGAGCAUGUAACACAAAAACUUUAUUUUACAGGUAAGAGUAACAUGGCAGUUGCUUCAUGAAUAUAUCAAGAUAUUUAAAAUACAUGUACAUAUGUUAGAUCCUCCUUUUACUGUCUUAUAUACUGCUUUUGAAAGAUUCUGCAAUCUCUUCAGUCACCAAUAUAAUCUAAGCACCUUUUGUUUACCAUUUAACCCAAGCUUCAAGUAUUUCACUUUAAAUAAUUAAAGGUAUGACCCCAGCUGAUUUUAUUACUUCUUAAGGACUUUUUUCUAUAACAAAUUUUACCUGGUAAUCACUUCAAAAAAACACUGGUCUAAAGUCAUAAAAUCCCAAGAGUCAAUACUCUAGGAUUAGAAAGGUUCCCUAGACUAGGCAGCAAAUAAAAACACAAGCACCUCAGAGUUCCCAUUGUGGUACAGCGGUAAUGAAUCCAUGAAUCCGACUAGUAUUCAUGUGGAUGUGGGUUCAAAACCUGGCCUUGCUCAGUGGGUAGGGGACCGGUGUUGCUGUGAGCUGUGGUCAACUUAGCCCACUGUAAAAUGCACAAAGGACAAAUGUCAAAGUAUUGUCCAAACUGUCUAUCGUCUAGUGAGAUAUUUUAAAUAUUUUACAUCUUCCUUUUUAAGGCAUAUGGACGGUCCCAAUUCCUUUAAUGAGCAGUUUGCCUCUUUAACCAACUCAAGCAAAAUUCUAGCACCUGUGGGUUUACAUCAAUGUGUCUUAUCAUCUGCAGAAUGUAGGUAUCACUAUAUACUCAUGUGCUUAAUGUAAGAAUUAAAUGAGAUUUAAAUGUGGUUCGUGCUUACUGUUCAAUAAAGAGUAAUUAACAAUAAAAAUGUUUAAAUGAAUACACAUAUGCAGGCAAUUGCACAGACAUGCUUUUUAACCUGGUCCAUGAGUUAAGGUGAGCCAGAAUUCAUUUUAUCUUUUCAGUUUAGUAACAAAUUCCUAAUUCUUAGUCUCACUGCAUUACUGACCACUUCAGGGUCAUGAGAGUUUUUCAUUUGCUCCCUCUCAGAUCUCAACUCCUUACUUCACUGCUCACCCAAAACUGGCACUCUUUAAGGAGUUCACUAGCAAAGACCUUAAAAUUCUUUUAUCAUUUAUCUGUUAGUGGCUGAGAAUAGAAAUAUCACUGGACCUUCACCUCAAAUAAUCCUGAAAAAAAAAUUCUAAGUGACUGAGUUGGGCUAAAGGUUCGGACUCCAGAUGCUUUGUCAUUUGUCUCAAACCAUUUUCUAUGGGUACCUUCAAAUGAUCUCCAGGCUGAAUCAGAUUUUUCUGCUGAGGGACUAUGAAAAAGUCAGGUAGGAAAGGUAUUAUUGAGAGUUCUAAAACUGAAUGCUGCAUUAUUAAAGGAGAUGAAGAUAUUCAGAAAUUCUAGGGAAAAGAGAUUUCUAGGACAAAAAAAAUUAAAUGACAAACCUGAUUUCAUCCAUUAGUACAUAUAAUAAUGGNACAAACCUGAUUUCAUCCAUUAGUACAUAAAAUAAUGGCUUACUUACUAUUUGAUAGAAAACUACUAGAAACUACUAGAAAACUAAUAGAAAAAUAUUAUCACUUGGAGUUAAAAAGAAGUGAGAAUUUGAGGUUAUACUUUGAAAGGCAAUUAAGUGACCCAAGUUAAUAAAUUUUAAACAGAAAAGGAUGUUUCUGGCAGAGCACCAGGACAGUCCAUUCAUUGAGAACAAUUUUGCAAAAUGAUCUUUACCAUUGAUCAGCUUAUUAAUCUCCAUGCUAUAUUUCUACUAGGAAAAAAGCAUUCGUCAUAUUUACCACUGAAUUAUAAAUCUAGCCCAACAUAUCAUAAAGAUUUCAAAACAGUUAAAUCUUCCUUAAUGCCCCAGAAGCAAAGACAGAGCCUCAGGCUUAGUUCUAUAGGUAAGUCCGCAACACUGACCUUUCCCUCUCAAGAAACAAGUUUCUUUUGCCGGAAUGUUAACUAUAUUCAUUUAAAAACUGGAAUGCUAUCAGUACGGAUUUGCCCUUUUUCAUUUUUUCAAGAUAUGCUCUUAAUCCAGGUGUAGGCUGUGAGCAACCACACACAGACUGCAUGCCUCGUUUGCAAAGUCCCAUCAGAAGACUGUACACAUUUGAACCAUCAUGUUGCUUUUUUUUACUGCAACACUCAGAGUGAUUCUCUUUCUGUUCCCUGAUCUUGUAUUUCAAUCAUCAUGAAAGUAAUAGAGCAAUUAGCAAAUGAGACUCUGCCUUCCUUGUCUAUAUAAAAAAAUAGAUGCUUGGUUUCUUAUGUAAAUAAGACAUAAGGCAAUAAAAAGUGAAUACCAAAAAUGUUAAAGGAAGGGUUUCGACAGAAUUUUUUUAAAGCAAUAAGGGCUAGGAGAAAAAUAAUAUAAAAAAUUUGAAUGUCUAAAAAUACUUAAGUGAAAUCCUAUGGUCCUAGAAAAAAAAUCUUUAAAAAAUGAUUAAUAUGUGAAAUAAACUAAUCUAUUAUUUCAAAAAGAAACUAAACUUUUUUCUGAGUAAAAGGAGGACAAUCUUCACUAAAAACUUUAAAAAAUACUUUGAUAGAGUACCUUUCUAAAGAAAUGGGCAGAUGCCUAAUAAUUUUAUAUUUACCCAAGAAAAUAUGUUUUUUUUUGUUUGUUUGUUUGUUGCUGACAAUGUGCUUUAUUUUAAAACCAGAACAGAAUAAAAAGUUCAAAGGAAUACUUUCCCAAGUACAAAAAAAAAGUUGGCGAUAAAGCAAGCCACAGCUAAAACGACUAUUCCCGAA